GCCUAACACAUGCAAGUCGAACGGUAACAGGAAGAAGCUUGCUUCUUUGCUGACGAGUGGCGGACGGGUGAGUAAUGUCUGGGAAACUGCCUGAUGGAGGGGGAUAACUACUGGAAACGGUAGCUAAUACCACAUAACGUCGCAAGACCAAAGAGGGGGACCUUCGGGCCUCUUGCCAUCGGAUGUGCCCAGAUGGGAUUAGCUAGUAGGUGGGGUAACGGCUCACCUAGGCGACGAUCCCUAGCUGGUCUGAGAGGAUGACCAGCCACACUGGAACUGAGACACGGUCCAGACUCCUACGGGAGGCAGCAGUGGGGAAUAUUGCACAAUGGGCGCAAGCCUGAUGCAGCCAUGCCGCGUGUAUGAAGAAGGCCUUCGGGUUGUAAAGUACUUUCAGCGGGGAGGAAGGGGGUAAAGUUAAUACCUUUACUCAUUGACGUUACCCGCAGAAGAAGCACCGGCUAACUCCGUGCCAGCAGCCGCGGUAAUACGGAGGGUGCAAGCGUUAAUCGGAAUUACUGGGCGUAAAGCGCACGCAGGCGGUUUGUUAAGUCAGAUGUGAAAUCCCCGGGCUCAACCUGGGAACUGCAUCUGAUACUGGCAAGCUUGAGUCUCGUAGAGGGGGGUAGAAUUCCAGGUGUAGCGGUGAAAUGCGUAGAGAUCUGGAGGAAUACCGGUGGCGAAGGCGGCCCCCUGGACGAAGACUGACGCUCAGGUGCGAAAGCGUGGGGAGCAAACAGG
rnacentral:rRNA from 1 species